UGAUGAGCCUCUACCUCACAGCAAAGACUGUUUAUUUUAGUUAAUUGCAGUUAAUCUUUGUAGUUGCUGUGUUAAAUUUCUUGCUGUUUUUACAGUGCACUAGGUCAUCCAGUUCUUCCUCUAUUAAAACCCACUGAUACUGAGAAGCUCAUUAGUCCCCCAGACUAAUCAUGGAGUGCCAUUUGAGCAAGCAAGGAACAGGCAAGAACUCUGACAUCUUAAAGCUUUCCCAGCUGAAACCCCCAAAACAUAAUAAAUAAGGGAAAAAUGCAAAGGAUUCUAGGGUCAAGCAUUCAAGUCACCAAAUUCUUCUUAAUCCCAUCAAGUUGUCUUUUAUCAUCAAAACUUUAGAUCUAGAAAAUAGAAAUACAACCUCUGGGCUUUGCAUUCAUAUUAAUUAGAGGCUAAAGAGAAUUUCAUUAAGAAAUAGCUGGAUGCUCAUAAUUCAGUGUAUAAAAGUGAAACUCAGUUUGAUAAAUGUGCUCCCUGUAUUUCAUAAUUUGCAGUUUGCUUCAGUGAAAGGUGUACAAGCAUAAACAACAGGGAAGACUCCUGCUUGGUAAAUAACUCGUGGAAAUUUUUAGAGAGGUUUUUUGGCUCAGUCUGCAGUGGGCCCUUGUGCUCAGUGCCCAGCACGACCAGUAUGACCAGUAUGACCAGUAUGACCAGUAUGACCAGCACAGGGCAGCUGCUGAGUGCUGGGAACCACAGCAGCAAUGACACCUUGGAAGGAAAUGAUGUUUAAGUCUCAGAAAAAGAUGGAACAACAUCCUAUUUUGAUUCCUGUUUUCAUUUUCCUGGAACUGCCCUCGAAGAGCCAAGUGAGUCAGUGCCUGACACCCCCAACCCCAGUGCCCAGGCAGGGAUGGAUGUGCAAGAAGAGGAUCUGUGAGGAGCUGACCCCUGUGAGGUGUCAGCCCAGGGAUGUGGUGAACAUCCACAUCCCACACCUUGCUCAAGCCCAGGGGGGUAAAACCUGGCCUUAGCAAAAAUACAGGGGAACACAAGGCAAAGAACACCAACUGCCAGUUCAACCUCUAGGGAAAAAAUAUCCUUGCAGGAGCCUGAAGUGUCCCAUGGCUGUGCUGGUGGGAAGCCAGGCUGUCCUCGCUCCUGAGGAGGAAAAUGCUUUCACUCCCUGUGGAUGCUGGCAUGGAACCCUAAGGAUACUCAGUGUCUCUUCAUUUUGUUGGAAAAUAUUGAGCAGAAAAAACACAGCUCUAAUACAAUUUUUCUUUACCUCACUCCUAAGGAAUCCAGCAGAGUCCUGAAAAAGCAA